AAGACUUAGGUCAAGUAAGUUACUCCUUGCCAUUCUCAUCUGAAUUUGAGGCCAAAUUAAUAUUAAUCGCCAUUUUUGUGGUACAAAAUUUGUUGUGAAAGGUCAAAACCUCGACGAAGAAACAUCAAUGGAUAACAGAGAGACUUAUUCUGCUCACAUCCAGAAACGUCACCAUGAUAAAGGAUGGAUCUAUGCUUGCUUAUUCACUCUGUGCUGUUGCUUCUGCUGUUACGAAACAUGUGAGUGUUGUCUGAAGAUUUUCUGCUGCUGCUGUGACGAUGAUGAUAAAAAGGAUGAUUAAAGGGAUUAAUUACUCUUGCUUUCUUUUCAAGGAAGUAUGAUUUGUAAAAAAAAAACAACACUUUUUAUAUGUGUCUUAAUAUACACUUAAUUACAUUUCAUGUAAUCAUGUUUUAACGUCGUUUCUGGUUUCAAAUUAGUACUGUAAGAUAAGGAGUUUCUAGCUCUUGAUGUCUUCUGAAUUCUGAUUCUAAGUACUAAUGUGAUAAUAAAUGGUCUUUGGUUUGCU